CACCGCUCUAUCGAGCGAGCGCGCAAACCGUUGCUCUGAUCCCGCGGUUCCUCUCGUACUGGACGGGAUAGCCGUAGCCGAGUUGACGUUGCCGACGCCCGCCUAAGGCAGCCGCGCGCGCAAU